rnacentral:rRNA from 1 species
CAGCCUUGCGACUGUACUCCCCAGGCGGGGCACUAAAUACAUUUGCUUCGCCUGAGACCCCACAGGAAGGGCCUCAAGCUAGUGCCCAUCGUUUACGGCUAGGACUACCGGGGUAUCUAAUCCCGUUCGCUACCCUAGCUUUCGCACCUCAGCGUCAGAAACGGACCAGAGAGCUGCCUUCGCCAUUGGUGUUCCUCUUGAUAUCUACGCAUUUCACCGCUCCUCCAAGAGUUCCGCUCUCCCCUACCGUCCUCAAGCCGUGCAGUAUGCAAAGCAGUUCCACGGGUGAGCCGUGGGAUUUCACUCCACACUUACACAGCCGCCUACGUGCGCUUUAUGCCCAGUGAUUCCGAACAACGUUUGCACCCUCUGUAUUACCGCGGCUGCUGGCACAGAGUUAGCCGGUGCUUCCUCUCGAACUUACGUCAAACCUGCAACUGUUUACUGCAGGCCAUUCAUAGCCCGUGACAGGAGUUUACAACCCUAAGGCCUUCGUCCUCCACGCGGCGUCGCUCCGUCAGACUUGCGUCCAUUGCGGAAGAUUCUCGA